UGAUCAUAAUAGGAUGCAGGGUGACAGAAAUUAGAAUAUAUUAUUGGACAUGUGCUUCCCGACUAAAUGCAACAGAGACGAAAACAAAAUCGAGUCCAUUACUACGAUUGGGACGAUUUGGAGCUGAUCAUAACAUAUGGGUACCUGUCCAUUGUUUGAACCUGUUUGUGACAUCUUUGUAAUGUAAUGCAUGCGCGCAAAUGUAAUGCAUCUACAUAAAUAUUUCACCAA